rnacentral:rRNA from 1 species
GUAGGUGGCAAGCGUUGUCCGGAAUUAUUGGGCGUAAAGCGCGCGCAGGCGGUCCUUUAAGUCUGAUGUGAAAGCCCACGGCUCAACCGUGGAGGGUCAUUGGAAACUGGGGGACUUGAGUACAGAAGAGGAAAGCGGAAUUCCAAGUGUAGCGGUGAAAUGCGUAGAGAUUUGGAGGAACACCAGUGGCGAAGGCGGCUUUCUGGUCUGUAACUGACGCUGAGGCGCGAAAGCGUGGGGAGCAAACAGGGAUUAGAUACCCUGGUAGUCCACGCCGUAAACGAUGAGUGCUAAGUGUUAGGGGGGUUUCCCGCCCCCUUAGUGCUGCAGCUAACGCAUUAAGCACUCCGCCUGGGGAGUACGGCCCGCAAGGCUG